rnacentral:rRNA from 1 species
UACGUAGGGUGCAGGCGUUAAUCGGAAUUACUGGGCGUAAAGCGUGCGCAGGCGGUUUUGUAAGUCUGACGUGAAAUCCCCCGGGCUCAACCUGGGAAUUGCGUUGGAGACUGCAAGGCUGGAGUCUGGCAGAGGGGGGGUAGAAUUCCACGUGUAGCAGUGAAAUGCGUAGAGAUGUGGAGGAACACCGAUGGCGAAGGCAGCCCCCCUGGGUCAAGAUUGACGCUCAUGCACGAAAGGCGU